UACGGGGGGGGCAAGCGUUGUUCGGAAUUACUGGGCGUAAAGGGCUCGUAGGCGGCCAACUAAGUCAGACGUGAAAUCCCUCGGCUUAACCGGGGAACUGCAUCUGAUACUGGAUGGCUUGAGAUUGGGAGAGGGAUGCGGAAUUCCAGGUGUAGCGGUGAAAUGCGCAGAUAUCAGGAGGAACACCGGUGGCGAAGGCGGAUCUCUGGGCCUUACCUGACGCUCAGGUGCGAAAGCUAGGGGAGCGAACAGG
rnacentral:rRNA from 1 species